rnacentral:rRNA from 1 species
AUACGGAGGAUCCGAGCGUUAUCCGGAUUUAUUGGGUUUAAAGGGUGCGCAGGCGGGAGAUUAAGUCGGCGGUGAAAUUUUGCAGCUCAACUGUAAAAGUGCCUUCGAAACUGGUUUCCUUGAGUGUAGAUGAAGUAGGCGGAAUUUGUGGUGUAGCGGUGAAAUUCAUAGAUAUCACGAGGAACUCCGAUUGCGCAGGCAGCUUACUAAACUACUACUGACGCUCAGGCACGAAGGCGUGGGGAUCAAACAGGAUUAGAUACCCUGGCAGUCCACGCAGUAAACGAUGAUUACUAGCUGUUUGCGAUACAAUGUAAGCGGCUGAGCGAAAGCGUUAAGUAAUCCACCUGGGGAGUACGUUCGCAAGAAUGAAACUCAAAGGAAUUGACGGGG